UAGUCUUUGGCUCAAUUCCCUAUCCCAUAUUUCUUAAACCCAAACCGCUAACAUAAUUCAUACCCAAUAUAAUAGCACCUAAUAACCAAAUAUCCACACACCCUGUAUGCCUAAAACACCACAAUCAGCCGUAUAACUCCAAAGAAAGACCCCCCACGUCGUCAUCUUGACCCUUGAGCUUCAGCAGCAACAACGAUUUUUCUGGAAAAAAAUCCAACGCCCUUCAGCCAUUCUUCAACAAAUGAACAGACCCUCCCAUGUAUACCCAUCGUCUCUUGAACAUGGACAAAAACAGAGAUAGGAACGUAGUCCUACACCUCUAAGACCACUAGAGAGCCACAAUUCAGAAAUGACAAUUUUUGGACCUAAAUCCAAAAGAAAACUUCUGCCAUCUAAACUAUUAAUUCCUCCCUUUGUUAAGGAGAGGUAGAUCUUUGAAUUACAAAAGAAAAUGCACACACUCAUGCAAAGGAGACAGACGAAAGAAAAAACAAAAGGAAUAGAAUCGAAAGUUAGGAAGAAAUACAAAGAAAAGGAUACUGCCUUCAUCGGGUUGAUUACGAUUUCUGUGUUUUCUUUUAAAAAAAUGGAGAUGAAUUGGGGUUUGGAGUUCGUUUGAGUUCAAGUUUAGAGCUGCCGUCCGUUCGUGGUUUCAGUUGAUUUUGACUGCUAUUUCGGAUUUGAUCGUUAGUUGUGGUUUAACGACGCCCUUGUAACUGCCGGAAUUUCCAUAAUCAAAGGCAAAUUUCAGAUCCAUUCAUUCUCUUUCCCUUAGCUAAUGUUUGUCGUUGGGAUCUAUUGUGUAAUAUUUUGACUCAUGAAUUACUAUUUUAGUUUUUUUAAUAAAGAUUUAAUUCGUUAA
rnacentral:lncRNA from 1 species